rnacentral:tRNA from 1 species
GUGGUGGGUAGCUCAGUGGAUAGAGCGCCUAAAUAUCCUUAUUCACUCCUUGCCUGAAAAGGCCGACGAAUUGAGGGUUAUCGCAUCCCAGCGGGAGGUCGCGGGUUCAAUUCCCGCUCCACUACACCA